rnacentral:rRNA from 1 species
GGAUGAACGCUAGCGGCAGGCCUAACACAUGCAAGUCGAGGGGCAUCGCGGUGCAGCAAUGCACUGGCGGCGACCGGCGUACGGGUGCGUAACGCGUAUGCAACCUGCCCCGGCACCGGGGGAUAGCCCGCCGAAAGGCGGAUUAAUACCCCAGUGGCCCCGGGGGCCCGCGAUGGGCAUCCGGGUAAAGCCUUGGCGGUGCGGGAUGGGCAUGCGUGCCAUUAGCUGGCUGGUGGGGUAACGGCCCACCAGGGCAACGAUGGCUAGGGGUUCUGAGAGGAUGAUCCCCCACACUGGUACUGAGACACGGACCAGACUCCUACGGGAGGCAGCAGUGAGGAAUAUUGGUCAAUGGGCGCAAGCCUGAACCAGCCAUCCCGCGUGAAGGAUGAAUGUACUAUGUAUUGUAAACUUCUUUUCUGCAAAGAGAAAGGGCACUACGUGUAGUGUUUUGACGGUAUUGCAGGAAUAAGCAUCGGCUAACUCCGUG